AACGAACGCUGGCGGCAUGCCUAACACAUGCAAGUCGAACGAGACCUUCGGGUCUAGUGGCGCACGGGUGCGUAACGCGUGGGAAUCUGCCCUUGGGUUCGGAAUAACUCAGAGAAAUUUGAGCUAAUACCGGAUGAUGACGUAAGUCCAAAGAUUUAUCGCCCAAGGAUGAGCCCGCGUAAGAUUAGCUUGUUGGUAGGGUAAUGGCCUACCAAGGCGACGAUCUUUAGCUGGUCUGAGAGGAUGAUCAGCCACACUGGGACUGAGACACGGCCCAGACUCCUACGGGAGGCAGCAGUGGGGAAUAUUGGGCAAUGGGCGGAAGCCUGACCCAGCCAUGCCGCGUGAAGGAAGACGGCCUUAUGGGUUGUAAACUUCUUUACUAUGCGACUAACUAGAUUUACGAGAUAAUUCUAUAGAAUGUAGCAUAGCAAAAAGCACCGGCUAACUCCGUGCCAGCAGCCGCGGUAAGAGUACUCUAU
rnacentral:rRNA from 1 species